CUCUGAGCCAUGCUGCCUGCCUUCUUCCCUGCUAUGGCAGCUAGCUCAAGAGACUCAAAGCCAAAUAUUCCGAAUUUCUGCAAGGUGCUUUAUUAAGAAUUCCUAAAGGAAAAACUAGUCUAAAAGUCCAAUUUCUGUUACCUAAAGGUUUUUGCCAGCAUGGGCUAUCGAGGGACAGGAAUAUGCAGCUCUUGGGUGCUAAAGCUCUGCCAAUGCAACCUUCCAGGCCAAUAUAUGGCCAGAAACACAUACCAACCACGAGCAGAAUACUCCUAAGAAGGCGCUGUCACAUCAGAACAGUGGAACAGCACUUGUUCACCCUGCAGAAAUGAAGACAGAUACAGAAAUAUGUCAUGUGAUGACAAAUGCAGUUUUAAGAAAUCUUCAUACUUCUUUCUUUAUAUUUGCUUCCUUCGUGCAAUCCUCCAUCCCCUCAGUCAGGGUGAUGCAACCAUAAACUGAACAAAGCUGUACUGAAGUGAUUUGAUUUGAAAACCAAACCAAAAAAUAAACCCAAAGUCUGGGUCUGGCUUGUAGCA
rnacentral:lncRNA from 1 species